rnacentral:rRNA from 1 species
GACGAACGCUGGCGGCGUGCUUAACACAUGCAAGUCGAACGGAAAGGCCCAGCUUGCUGGGUACUCGAGUGGCGAACGGGUGAGUAACACGUGGGUGAUCUGCCCCUGACUUCGGGAUAAGCCUGGGAAACUGGGUCUAAUACCGGAUAUGACCUUACAUCGCAUGGUGUUUGGUGGAAAGCUUUUGCGGUUGGGGGUGGGCCCGCGGCCUAUCAGCUUGUUGGUGGGGUAAUGGCCUACCAAGGCGACGACGGGUAGCCGACCUGAGAGGGGGAUCGGCCACACUGGGACUGAGACACGGCCCAGACUCCUACGGGAGGCAGCAGUGGGGAAUAUUGCACAAUGGGCGCAAGCCUGAUGCAGCGACGCCGCGUGAGGGAUGACGGCCUUCGGGUUGUAAACCUCUUUCGCCAGGGACGAAGCGCAAGUGACGGUACCUGGAGAAGAAGCACCGGCCAACUACGUGCCAGCAGCCGCCGUAAGAC